rnacentral:rRNA from 1 species
CCUACGGGAGACAGCAGUGAGGAAUAUUGGUCAAUGGCCGAGAGGCUGAACCAGCCAAGUCGCGUGAGUGAAGACGGCCCUCCGGGUUGUAAACCUCUUUUGUCGGGGAGCAAAGCGAGUCACGUGUGACUCAUUGAGAGUACCCGAAGCACAAGCAUCGGUAAACUCCGGGCCCGCAGCCGCGGUAAUACGGGGGAUGCGAGCGUUAUCCGGAUUUAUUGGGUUUAAGGGGUGCGCAGGCGGAGGGGCAAGUCAGCGGUCAACUUGCGGGGCUCAACCCCGUAGUGCCGUUGAAACUGCAUGCCUUGAGUGCGCGAGAAGUAUGCGGAAUGCGUGGUGUAGCGGUGAAAUGCAUAGAUAUCACGAAGAACUCCGAUUGCGAAGGCAGCAUACCGGCGCGCAACUGACGCUCAUGCACGAAAGCGUGGGUAUCGAACAGGAUUAGAUACCCCUGUAGUC